ACGUGUGGUAACCUGCCUGUAAGACUGGGAUAUCUCCGGGAAACCGGGGCUAAUACCGGAUGCUUGAUUGAACCGCAUGGUUCUCUCAUGUGAGGCGGCUUCUCGCUGCGGUUUACAUAUGGACCCGCGGCGCACUAUCUAUUUGGUGAGGUAACGGCUCUCCACGGCGACAAUACGUAUCCGACAUGAGAGGGUGAUCGGCCACACUGUGACUGAGACACGGCCCACACACCUACAGGAGGCGCCACUAUGGAAUCUUCUCCACUGUACAAGAGUCUGACAGAGCACCGCCCCGCGAGUGA
rnacentral:rRNA from 1 species